GAUGAACGCUGGCGGCGUGCCUAAUACAUGCAAGUCGAGCGAACGGACGAGAAGCUUGCUUCUCUGAUGUUAGCGGCGGACGGGUGAGUAACACGUGGAUAACCGACCUAUAAGACUGGGAUAACUUCGGGAAACCGGAGCUAAUACCGGAUAAUAUUUUGAACCGCAUGGUUCAAAAGUGAAAGACGGUCUUGCUGUCACUUAUAGAUGGAUCCGCGCUGCAUUAGCUAGUUGGUAAGGUAACGGCUUACCACGGCAACGAUGCAUAGCCGACCUGAGAGGGUGAUCGGCCACACUGGAACUGAGGCACGGUCCAGACUCCUACGGGAGACAGCAGUAGGGAAUCUUCCGCGAUGGGAGAAAGCCUGACGGAGCAACGCCGCGUGAGUGAUGAAGGUCUUCGGAUCGUAAAACUCUGUUAUUAGGGAAGAACAUAUGUGUAAGUAACUGUGCACAUCUUGACGGUACCUAAUCAGAAAGCCACGGCUAACUACGUG
rnacentral:rRNA from 1 species